UAAUUUACGGCUGUAUCGAAAGUACAAGUAUACGUAGGUAUUAGCCGGUACCUAUUAUAGUAUUAACGCGAUAGCCUUAUUCAUUCUCUUGCGAUUCCGAACUGAUUUUAUAAUUUGUCAUACAACGCGAAUAUAUUUUGUGUUUAUAAAUUGUGAGUCUAAUCAAAAAUACUACCUACUUAUCAGAUACCUACAUAAACCUAUACAUAUAAUAUGAAAUCAAUCGUAUGACUCAAUCAAUCUAAUUUUCGCAAGAUUCGUUCAACAUAUUGUUAUUUCAUAACAGUGAUGACCGGUAUUCCUAAAUAUGUGUUGAAUCCCACUC